CUGCACCCUGCACCCGAAAAGGUGACCUCAGGGACAGCAAUGCAGCUGCCCUAAACCUUUCGAGGUCCAGCCACAGUCUUUAACAAAAAAAUAGGGGAAGCGGUGAGAAAAUGAUCGAGCUGAAACUAGAAGGGACGCUGGAGAAGCAGAAGGUAAUUAGCAGAUUUGGGAUUUGGCUGGGACUCAAGGUGCAAGGAGCGAUUGGAAACGUUGGCUGUCUUUUGCUGACUAUGCCGCACCAGCCAAGGUUUGUUUUCUGUUAGCGCAAGCAGAGAGGUGGGAAGCAAAAGAGACAGCUGCUCCAAAGAGACGGACAAAACUGACUGUUCCUGACAAGGACGCUGCAAUCUGACUAACUAGGGAUCAGACGCACGCGUAAUCCUCAGGAAAAUUCAUCUCGGGACAGUCGAAGAUCAGACCGAAGGGAAGAACGACGCAGGGUAGAUGCCUCUCCCUGAGCUUUCCAUGGCUCAGGUACGUCCGUCUCAGCCUCACCCCAAGGGCAGCACUGGCAUAGAAUAGCUGUAGGCCUUGUCUAAUGAGUUGCUAUCACCCCAUCACAUGCUAUCCAAGAGAUGUGCAAGACAUUCAGAGAAGAGAGCUGGGAGGUGGAAGCGAAGUUGAACCAGGAGAGAAAUUACAAUCGCGCUCAGAAGAUCCAGGGGAGACGAGGGCGAGCAAAGAGCAUCACUACACAGAUGUUCCUAGCGGCUGCGUUUCUGCCCUAAGAUGAUGCAUGGAAGGUGCCGGAUGCCUUUGGUGGAGCAGCUGGAGUAAGACUUUGGUUAUGUUUGACCCAGAUCCUCGAAAGUAUUUAAGCACCUAACUCCCAUUGAUUUCAACUGAGCCAAUGAAGAUGGUGGUUUCUGAGUUGUGGACACGGGUCCAUUCGAAUUGAGACCCAGCAACUCACUUCAGAGAGGCCAUCGAAGAGUAAGGAGCUGAGGACAUUGUGCACCUGGGCUGAACUUGGAUUUCAACUUCUACAGAUGAAACACCCUUUGGCCAAUCUCCUGCAUCACCCAGUCCUCUGGGGUGGCAGCUGGCUACCUACUUGUGAUCCAUUCUGCCACUCAUCAGCAAUGCAGGCAGGAGAAAGUCGUGGAAAUGAAUGCUUGCAUCUGAAGAAGUGAGGUUCUUACCCACGAAAGCUUAUGCUCCCAAUACUUCUGUUAGUCUUAAAGGUGCCACAGGACCCUCUGUGGAAAUGAAUGGUUCAGUUGAGGAAGGCCAGCCUGCUUUUAUAGCAUGAAUGUAACACUCUAACAGAACUUUACACGCUGGGAAUUGUGCCUCUGCACAAUGAAUACAAGUUGGGGAUGAUCUCUGCUCUCACUCAUGUUCAUCAGAGGCUGAGAGGAUCUUCGGAGGUGAAGCUCACGGUGCCCAAUUCAACCCUGGUGCAAGCAGGUGCAGCUACGCUGAAGUCAGUGCAGCAGUGGCUACUUUCACUAAGGGCUGAAUUAUGUAUUUCCUGACUCCAGUCACACAAUAUAAGUCAGGGUUACAAAAGCUUAUGCUCCUUGUCAUGUGGUAGGAGUCAGCACACACUGGCCCCAGGGGCUACUGUUACACACAUUCUGUUUAUCUCUAGACCACAUUGUCCCAGCCAGGAGUUCAUGGGAGCCUCCUGAAAGCUUUACUAAACACAAAAAAUCCUCAUAGAUAUAUUACGGCUGCUGCAUUUACAUUUGUAAAAUAUACCAAGUUAGGGCUGUGCCAAGCACAGUACAUGGCACAGCUGUAUUUUUGUGAUGUUGACUCCUUCUAACUACUGUAUUUGGAGUUUAAC